UUCUUCCCGACACCGCUGAACGGCAUGCUGGACUCGCCUGACUCGACUAGGGACAUGAUGCAGGACUACGAGGCUUACUAGGACUCGUCCUCUGCCAAGCGCUCGAACCCGACUAGACGCGUUCCGCCCGCCGUUCGCCGCCUCCCAUUCUCCUCGACCCUCGAAACAGCGCUCGCACUCCCGCAGUCUGCGCUCAGUCUUCAGAGACGAGCGUUGUACUCGAUGGUCAGCGGCGAAGCUGUAGAGGCGACUCACAAUGGAUGGCAAGGUUGGCGAGCGCAAAGGGCGAUCAAUCCUCCCCGCAGAGUAUCAAGUGCGAGUGAAAUGCAGUACAGUAUACACGAGGAGCGG
rnacentral:misc_RNA from 1 species